CCCGGCGAGGAGGAAGAGGAACCGAAGGAGCCGGCUCGCCCCGCCGCCAUCUUCCCUGCGCUCCCUCCAGUCCGCCUGAAUGAGAGAGAACAGAAAGCGGGCGGCGGCGCGGCCGGCUGACAGGUGGGUGUGUCCCUGUGUGUGUGCUGGAGGAGGCUUGAGGACCUGGCUCAGCAGGGCAGUAUAAAGGAGCCCAGGCUGGCAGAACAGGCAGGCUCAGUGGUACCCCAGUACCACAGGUAGUACCCUGGGGGUAAUACCAUCACACUGACUUCAGUCUGAGGAUAAUACCAGAAAUCACGAUGAACAUCCCACUCUCCAAUCCUCAACAGCCAGCACCAAAAGACUGCCCAGUAAGAUGACAGACUUGAACAGAGCCGAACUUAACCCCUUUCAGACACAAGUUCUCCUGGCUGUCGUCUGGACCUGGAAUCUACGCAGGCCAGAGGCUUUCCUUUUCCUUCCCCCAGCUCUUGACAGAUGCAUAUUUUAUUGCUGGGACAGGUGAGAGGCAAAUGAACCAUAAAAUUUCUUCCUUCGAUGAUCUAUUACAUGUUUGGUUGAGAUUCAAACAUUUGGGGCCAGAUUCUGAUUUCAGUUAUAUCAAUGUCAAUCUGGAGUGUAUUUGCUCUGGAUUUACACAGUGGAUUUACCCAGGAUCCAGCCCAUAAUAUUUUGGUAGGAAAUUUAAUCUAUUAACUGCAACAUGGUUGCACAUACUGCACUUAUUUGGAUUACUUAGAUCAAUUACUUAAUACUUGUAUUGCACUUUGAAGCUGUAGGGCCUGAUUCGCUGUGCAAUUAAACCAGUUGUAUAACUCUGCAA